rnacentral:rRNA from 1 species
AUAACUCGGGCUAAUGGAAUUAGCCGCUCAUGAUUUGAUGAACGAAAUAAAAAUUUGAAUUCAUGUUAGUAUGGAUAAACUUAUGAAUGGAUGAAAACAACAAUUGUUUCUUCAAUUGAAUCACAAGAGAAUAAUCGACAAUAGUUGAUAAGUGUUGAAGGGAAAACAAGAAAAAUACUUGACGAAAAAGAUGAGGCAAUGUACGUUCCUCCCAAGUUUUAAAAAAAAGAAGAUUGAGAGAUUAAAGAAGAUUGUCCAUAAAACCCUAAAAGAUGCUAUUUAUACUUAACCCUAAUUAUGGAAAUAAAAUAACAAAAAUCAUAAAAUUCUUCGAAUUAGGUGACGUCGUCGCUGAUGCCACGUCAAGGUUCUGACGCCUUAUCACGGAUGGCAUCAGAAUUGCUCCAGUUGCCUUCAAAAUAUGUCUUAGGAUAAUGAUAUAGCUGACGCCGCGUCACCGAUAUGACGGUGUAUCACCAACAUUGUCAGAUUUUUUCUUCAAGCUUAAUUCUCUGGUUUAAGCUGACGCCCAUCGUGACGCCUUAUCAGCACUUUGAUGCCAUGUCACCAAUGUCGUCAGAACUUUCUCUCAGACUUCAACUCUAUGGUUAGGGAUGACACCAAUGCUGAUAGCCUAUCACAAGGCUGACGACUUUUCACGGUCAUCGUCAGCCAUGUUUUCAGCUUUUUUUGCUCAGAUUUCAGCUCUUUUGCUCCAUUGUUAUUUAUUUCCAUGCAUCUUGAAUUUCCUACAAAAUCUUAAGAAAUAACAUCAAAAACACCAAUAAUCACUUAAGAACUUACAUUUAUUUCAAGUAAAAGAGUCUUAAAUGUGCUACAAAAAUCUAGCACAUCACCCACCCCCAACCAAUUAGGGUAAAGUGUUCAUGCAUCCAAUUAGGGUAAAGUGUUCAUGCAUACCUUCAAUAGCACCGAGAUAUUGGCCCAUGGCCAUGUUUACUUCAUCUUUAAGAGCAAGCAUCCUGGCUCUCAAGGCCUAAGGCAACCCUGGAUCCUUUCCUAAGCAUCCUGGCUCUCAAGGCCUAAGGCAACCCUGGAUCCUUUCCUACUUAGUGAUUCCAAGAAGAUGCUUCAACCCCGUUAAGUUUUAGGUGGCUAUCACAGUAUAAUAAAGAUUUCCAAUUUCGUUUUGGAAUAUUUUCAUCCCUGAUUGGAAUGACCUAUGUUGUAAGGGAGGAGAGAAGGUGAACCAGUUUCUUUUAGUUGACUCUCCCAUCUGGUCGAGUAGCUUUUGCUCCUUCCUACUUACUUUAUUAUAAUAUAAGCUUAAGCUACUACGUGGCCUAUUGGGAGCUUUUUAGUCAUAGUGGGAGCUUUUAAAAAUCACUUACCAGGUCAAAAUCAUAGGAAGAGGGAAGAACAAGGGAGAAGAUCUUAUUUAAAAGAAGACGAUUCCAAAAGAAAGUCAAAACGGGGAAUAGGAUGCCUUAAAUGUAAAUAAGAAAGAUCCUAAAUAAAAAAGAAAACACCUAUUAAACCAAUUAUAAAAAUACCAAUUACAGUACCUAUUAUCCAAAGAGGAAUCCUUCCAGUAGUAUCGGCCAUUUACCCCACUUCCCUCCAGAUUUCACAAGUGGUCAUGCUGGAGACAUAAAUAGCCUUGGAUAAUUGAAUUAUGAGAUCCUUCCGAAUGAGUUAAGAGAAUCUUAUUUAUUCUCUUUCAUUUUGUUAAUUGAAGAAAUAAUUGAAAAAUCAAAAAGCAAGUACAAAAAUGAGUAAUAACCCCUAGUAGAGACUAGUAUGAUGAAAUUCAACAUUUUGUUCAUUAUGGUUUGAUUGUGUCAUAGCUCUAUAAUUCAUAUGUUCUUUAUCGUUAGAUGAACUAAUGAUAUUGAUCCCCAAAAAAAUACGGUAGGUACAGCUAGGCCAUGAAUAGACAACCAUCGUAUUGUAAAAAUUAGAUAGGUUUGAUCUAUAGUCAUUAGGGCCUCCUAAAGUGAUCUACUAAAUUCCUUAAGUUAUUCCAAAGGAUCAAAAUGGAAAAUUAUUAAUGGAAUUCCUUGUCGGGUAAGUUCUGACCUGCACAAAAAGAGUAAUGAUCUGGGCACUAUCUCGGAGAGAGGCUCGGUGAAAUAGACAUGUCUGUGAAGAUGUGGACUACCUGCAUCUGGACAGAAAGACCUUAUGAAGCUUCACUGUUCCCUGGGAUUGGCUUUGGGCCUUUCUUGCGCAGCUUAGGUGGAAGGCAAAGAAGGCCUCCUUCUGGGGAGGCUCAAGCCAUCAGUGAGAUACCACUCUAGAAGGGCUAGAAUUCUAACCUUGUGUUAGGACCUACGGACCAAGGGAUAGUCUCAGGUAGACAGUUUCUAUGGGACGUAGGCAUCCUAAAAGGUAACGGAGGCGUGAAAAGGUUUCCUAGGGCCAGACGAAGAUUUUCCCUAGAAUGCAUAGGUAGAAGGGAGCUUGACUGCAAGACCCACCUAUCGAACAGGGACGAAAGUCGGCCUUAGUGAUCUGACGGUGCCGAGUGAAAAGGCCAUCACUCAAUGGAGAAAAGUUACUCUAGGGAUUACAAGAUGAUCUUCCCCAAGAGGUGACAUCAACGGGAAGGUUUGGUACCUCGAUGUCGGCUCUUCGCCACCUGGAGCUGUAGUAUGUUCUAAGGGUUGGACUGUUCGCCCAUUAAAGCGGUACGUGAGCUGGGUUCAGAACAUCGUAAGACAAUUCGUUCCAUAUCUGGUAUGGACUUUAGAGCAUUGAGAGGACCUUUCCCUAGUACGAGAGGACUGAGAAGGACGUACCUCUGGUGUACCAGUUAUCGUGCCCACGAUAAAUGCUGGGUAGCUAAGUGCGGAGCGUAUAACUGCUGAAAGCAUCUAAGUAGUAAGCCCACCCCAAGAUGAGUACUCUCCUAUUCCGAAUUCCCCAGAGCUUCCGGUAGCACAGCCGAGACAGCGACGGGUUCUCCUCCCCUGCGGGGAUGGAGCAACAAAAGUUUUUUUGAGAAUUCAAGAAAAGGUCAUGGCGAGAUGAGCCGUUUAUCAUUACGAUAGGUGUCAAGUGGAAGUGUAGUGAUGUAUGCAGCUAAGGCAUCCUAAUAGACCGGUAGACUUGAAC